CCAAUAGCGUAUAUUAAAGUUGUUGCAGUUAAAAAGCUCGUAGUUGAAUUUCGGGAUCAGUACGCCGGUCGUGCCUCCGGUAUGUACUGGUGUCACUGAUUCCUCCCUUCUGAAGAACCAUCAUGCCAUUAAUUUGGUGUGGUGGGGAAUCAGGACUGUUACUUUGAAAAAAUUAGAGUGUUUAAAGCAGGCUCGCGCUUGAAUACAUUAGCAUGGAAUAAUGAAAUAGGACGUUUAUCCUAUUUUGUUGGUUUAUAGGAUUGACGUAAUGAUUAAUAGGGAUAGUUGGGGGCAUUAGUAUUCAAUUGUCAGAGGUGAAAUUCUUGGAUUUAUUGAAGACUAACUACUGCGAAAGCAUUUGCCAAGGAUGUUUUCAUUAAUCAAGAACGAAAGUUAGGGGAUCGAAGACGAUCAGAUACCGUCGUAGUCUUAACCAUAAACUAUGCCGACUAGGGAUCGGAUGAUGUUAAUUUUUUAAUGACUCAUUCGGCGCCUUACG
rnacentral:rRNA from 1 species